GACAGAAACAGUGACCAAAUAAUUCAUUACCUUAUCUACAUGUGAAGGAAGAUUUUUGGCCUGCACUUUCACAGCUGAUAUUAUAAAAAUCAGCUUAUGACAUUAACAUGUUUCAAGCGUUUUAAUUUACUUUUAUUUGUGAAGUUUAUCUAUCACAUGUGGAGACAUACGCACAUACGAAACGGCAAAAAGACGCUAAAAUCUGGGUUAAGAGCAAAAAACUACCUGCGCCAAUCAGUUUUUGCCAUUUAUGGGCUUUACCCUAUAAAAGAAAACCGUUUUAUGCAUUUAAAUGACCUUACACGUUAUCAGUUUAUUAAGCGUUUAGACUAUGUAGACACAAUGUGCACUAAGAUAAAAAAAUUGGUUAACACGACCACUCGUGGUGGCUUCACUCAGAGGUUGGAGAAGACAACCGGUGGACUAAACAUCAAGCCUCUGCACGAUUCAGGUAAGUGGAAUAAAAUACAUUGUAAAUAAACAUUAUUAAAACAGAUUGUAAAGUCAUUCAUUCAAAACUUGCUAUGACCUAAGCCUAAAUGACUUAAUUUCUUUUUAGAAUUAAGACAACCUUAGCAGGAGAGCCCCAGCAGUAACUUUCUCUCAAGCAGAUGAACAAUAAGUUGCUUUGUAUGAACACCACCCUAACAAUCAAGUUUUCUACAGUAGUCUGUUAACAGUAGACCAAAGGUAUGAUGAUCAAUUUUAAAUGCAAUAUGGUUGAAAGGUCAGUAAACAAACAACAAAAAGGUAAUUUCUUAAUAGAAUGUCUGUACAUUUUUUGCUUUUGUUACAUAUUUCAUACAUCAAAAUCCUUAAACGUUAAUAAUUAUGUAUUCCAACUUGUUGCAGCUUGACAAAAAUGUAGCUUGAAGGAGAAGGGACAGCUGAGAAACAAAGUCCUGGUACGCAGACGACAAUACUAUAACACUGACAAGAGUAUAAUGAUGAUGGAGACGGAGACACAAGCCAGAGAAAGGGUGGACCAAACACCAGGCCAGAAUUCUGCAUGAGUCAGAUCCAGUGGGUGCAGAUCAUCAUACAGAUGGUUCAAGUGUGGAUCCACCUAAUAUUCAAGGUUUUCUGUCCUGGGACACUCGGCUAACCAUCAAGAAAGAACACACUCCAGUGGGCAUCCUUUAUCCAUCCAGACCCUCAUACAGAUGGUUGGAGUUUUGAUUCUCCUAAAGUACCAUGCAAGAGCACUCUUUUUCACUCUUGAGACCAUGGUGUGACCUGCAAGGUCGAAUGGAGACUGUAAACGAGACAAUCUUGGAGUCACCUGCAUUCACUGGUCCAGUUAGUCCAAUUACAGAUGGAGAUUAUAGAAGAGGAUGAUGUCUUUUCUCCAACAUCUUUCUAGACUGAUAAAAGAUCUAGACAGGCUUGAACAAAAGUUAACAGAGGGGCUUAUAUAGAGAAUGGUGAGCAGCUACACAUAAAAGAAGAACAUGGAGAAUCUGCCCAGAGGUGUUAACCAGCAAUGCAGCUAUACAACUAAAUUGAUGCAGGCGGAAACAAUGUGUAAUGCAGCUGCUGCAGAAGAAGAAUCCGUCCGUCUACCACUGAAGGAGACGCGGAAAUUCCUUCCAAGAUGUUCUUUGCCCGAGGAAGCAUUUGAUUAAUUUAAAGAUAUUGUGUUUCUUUGUAUGUUAUAGAAAAACGUUGCUUUUUUUGCAUACACUCGUGUAAAUAUGCAUGUUAUGAAUGUUUUUCUUUUGUCUAAUUUAAAUAAAUUUUACGCAAUCAA